UUCACUGUUGUGUUGGUUGUGUUG
rnacentral:siRNA from 1 species